rnacentral:sRNA from 2 species
CUGCCACCAUUAAUUUGUACUUUUUCAAACUCCUUGGCAUGCUUCCGGAGCAGGUCACCCCUGCUUUUCCGCCCCUUGCAGUCCCCCAGGUUCAAAUUUUCACCUCAAGCCAUUCCUCUUGCAUUCUUAUGAUCCAUACGAAGGUUUUCUUGUUUAUGCGCCGGAAGCAAUGCCUCAACCUUUUGCGAAACAAUCUUCUAUAGAUUUCUCUGCGUGCUCUGAGGGUACGGCGAGGCAAACGAUGAUGGCAUCACAGGAAACGGACGCAAAUGGGAAAUCGGGGAUAGAGUAUAGGUUAUAUAUAUAUGUCACUCAGAUGGAAGAAAGCCGUUAGUUUGAAACACAAAUACGAAGACAUCCUAUGGAUAUCAAGUAUAUAUAGUACUAGUA